ensembl:lncRNA
UUCUGUGAUGCGUGUGAGAGCGCUCCCUGCGGUCCCUCCCAAUGCAGGCCUUGGAAAAGAUUGUUUAUGUGAGUGUGAGAGGCCCUCUUAAGUUGGACAGCAGUAAAGAGAUGAAAAAUGACACCAUCCCCAGCCCUCAGGAAUACAGAUGAAGAUAAAUUGACAACAGAGGAGUCAUGUGUGGCUGUUCCUAAUGAAACCUUACCACACACUUGAAGGUGAUGAGGGUGCUUCUCACAUGGAAAAAUUGGAUUGGAGACCUCCGUGGUAGAUCAUACCUUUUUUAUGAGUUUUCUUGUGGGUACCCCAGCAGCCAUGACUGUCUUUAAAGCCUAUGUUCCUUUAUUAAGUUUAGUGGAUCUCUUGAAUCCUGUUCUUGUGCCGUAGGGCAGGAAAACGCCUCUAUACAAUAGCAGAGUUGUGUAUUCUGGGGGGUUUAUUUAUUUGUGGAAUUUUUAGUUUGUUUCUGUUGUUCUUUUUUAUUUUAUUUCAUGUGCAUUGGUGUGAGUUACAGACAGUUGUUUUAGCUACCAUGUGGGUACUGGGAAUUGAACCUGGGUCCUCUGGAAGACCAGCCAGUGCUCUUAACAGAGCCACAUCUCCAGCCCCUUUUCCUUUGUUUUGUUUUGUUUAUUUUUUUCUGAAAAUAAAACUAUGCAAAAUAGAGAAGAUGCCUUUUCAUGUAGUCCUGCUCUC